rnacentral:rRNA from 1 species
AUUGAACGCUGGCGGCAGGCCUAACACAUGCAAGUCGAACGGUAACAGGAAGAAGCUUUCUUCUUUGCUGACGAGUGGCGGACGGGUGAGUAAUGUCCGUGAAACUGCCUGAUGGAGGGGGAUAACUACUGGAAACGGUAGCUCAUACCGCAUAACGUCCCUAGACCAAAGAGGGGGACCUUCUGGCCUCUUGCCCUCUGAUGUGCCCAGAUGGGAUUAGCUAGUAGGUGGGGUAACGGCUCACCUAGGCGACGAUCCCUAGCUGGUCUGAGAGGAUGACCAGCCACACUGGAACUGAGACACGGUCCAGACUCCUACGGGAGGCAGCAGUGGGGAAUAUUGCACAAUGGGCGCAAGCCUGAUGCAGCCAUGCCGCGUGUAUGAAGAAGGCCUUCGGGUUGUAAAGUACUUUCAGCGGGGAGGAAGGGAGUAAAGUUAAUACCUUGGCUCAUUGACGUUACCCGCAGAAGAAGCACCGGCUAACUCCGUG